AUUUCUCUCAUUAUGAUAUACAAUAGUGCUUUCCCGGGAAACGACUUGGAAAGUGUUGAAAUAAUUUUAUUAACACAUUAAACAGUGAUAAAGACUAAUGAGGAAGUAAAAUGUAUAUUACCUUUCCUGAUUGUUUAAUCAUCUUCCUUUAUUAUACGUAUAUUUCGCUUGGUAAAUGUUUUGCUUUUAUAGCCUUUACUCAUUGACCGAUGUUUUUCAUAUUGGAAGGACUUAACUUACGGUCUUAAGACGCAAGAACAGAAAACAGGCAAAUGAAAUAAUCAGAAUUAUUUCUUCAUUGGGAAAGAGACGCCAAAAGAAAUUUAACAUUUGACAGAAAGAUUCUCAGAAUUAUUACCUAUACAUAAACGGAAAUAUGGCAGAGGCAGGUAGUCGAUCUCGAGCAGAAAGACAGGGUAGCACAGUUGAUGAAAUAUUCAAGUGUCAAAUUUGCCAAAAUGAAAUGGAAGAUUCGUCAAUGACUCUUUGUGGACAUCGAUUCUGUACUAAAUGCAUCAAGGAAUGGAUAAAGCGGAAACAGAAUUGUCCACAAUGCAGACAAUCAAUAACUGCAAACUCCCUUAUUGAG